rnacentral:rRNA from 1 species
UACGAAGGGGGGCUAGCGUGGCUCGGAAUGACUGGGCGUAAAGGGCGCGUAGGCGGAUGGUACAGUCAGAUGUGAAAUUCCUGGGCUCAACCUGGGGGGCUGCAUUUGAUACGUGCUGUCUUGAGUUCGGAAGAGGGUCGUGGAAUUCCCAGUGUAGAGGUGAAAUUCGUAGAUAUUGGGAAGAACACCGGUGGCGAAGGCGGCGACCUGGUCCGAUACUGACGCUGAGGAGCGAAAGCGUGGGGAGCGAACAGG